rnacentral:rRNA from 1 species
GGAAUUUUCCGCAAUGGGCGAAAGCCUGACGGAGCAAUACCGCGUGAAGGAAGACGGCCUAUGGGUUGUAAACUUCUUUUUUCAGGGAGGAACUCAAUGACGUGUACCUGAAGAAUAAGCAUCGGCUAACUCCGUGCCAGCAGCCGCGGUAAUACGGGAGUGGCAAGCGUUAUCCGGAAUUAUUGGGCGUAAAGCGUCCGCAGGCGGUCUGUCAAGGCUGCUGUUAAAGCGUGGAGCUUAACUCCAUUUCGGCAGUGGAAACUGACAGACUAGAGUGUGGUAGGGGCAGAGGGAAUUCCCGGUGUAGCGGUGAAAUGCGUAGAUAUCGGGAAGAACACCAGUGGCGAAGGCGCUCUGCUGGGCCAUAACUGACGCUCAUGGACGAAAGCCAGGGGAGCGAAAGGGAUUAGAUACCCCUGUAGUC